AGAGAUGGAUUGGUGCCUUCGGGAACUCUGACACAGGUGCUGCAUGGCUGUCGUCAGCUCGUGUCGUGAGAUGGUUGGGUUAAGUCCCGUAACGAGCGCAACCCUUGUCCUUAGUUACCAGCACGUUAUGGUGGGCACUCUAAGGAGACUGCCGGUGACAAACCGGAGGAAGGUGGGGAUGACGUCAAGUCAUCAUGGCCCUUACGGCCUGGGCUACACACGUGCUACAAUGGUCGGUACAAAGGGUUGCCAAGCCGCGAGGUGGAGCUAAUCCCAAUAAAACCGAUCGUAGUCCGGAUCGCAGUCUGCAACUCGACUGCGUGAAGUCGGAAUCGCUAGUAAUCGUGAAUCAGAAUGUCACGGUGAAUACGUUCCCGGGCCUU
rnacentral:rRNA from 1 species